UCACCCAUCAAGCCCGGCUUGGUGUUGGGCGCCUGUCCGGCUUCGCCGGACUCGCCUAGAAAGCAUUGGCGGCCCGUCCCGCGGCUUGGAGCGCAGCACAGUCGCGCCUCCACGCCCCGGGCUGGCGACCAGCAAGCGAAUUUUACCA
rnacentral:misc_RNA from 1 species